GUGCCUAAUACAUGCAAGUCGAACGCUUCUUUCCUCCCGAGUGCUUGCACUCAAUUGGAAAGAGGAGUGGCGGACGGGUGAGUAACACGUGGGUAACCUACCCAUCAGAGGGGGAUAACACUUGGAAACAGGUGCUAAUACCGCAUAACAGUUUAUGCCGCAUGGCAUAAGAGUGAAAGGCGCUUUCGGGUGUCGCUGAUGGAUGGACCCGCGGUGCAUUAGCUAGUUGGUGAGGUAACGGCUCACCAAGGCCACGAUGCAUAGCCGACCUGAGAGGGUGAUCGGCCACACUGGGACUGAGACACGGCCCAGACUCCUACGGGAGGCAGCAGUAGGGAAUCUUCGGCAAUGGACGAAAGUCUGACCGAGCAACGCCGCGUGAGUGAAGAAGGUUUUCGGAUCGUAAAACUCUGUUGUUAGAGAAGAACAAGGACGUUAGUAACUGAACGUCCCCUGACGGUAUCUAACCAGAAAGCCACGGCUAACUACGUGCCAGCAGCCGCGGUAAUACGUAGGUGGCAAGCGUUGUCCGGAUUUAUUGGGCGUAAAGCGAGCGCAGUCGGUUUCUUAAGUCUGAUGUGAAAGCCCCCGGCUCAACCGUGGAGGGUCAUUGGAAGCUGGAAAACUUGAGUGCAGAAGAGGAAAGUGGAAUUCCAUGUGUAGCGGUGAAAUGCGCAGAGAUAUGGAGGAACACCAGUGGCGAAGGCGACUCUCUGGUCUGUA
rnacentral:rRNA from 1 species